CGCUGAAGAGAUUUGCGGGGCUCAGAUCUCAGCACGGAUAUCUGGAGAGUGUGGGGUCAGGGAAGAGCAGCAAGAGGAAUGGAUAUCCAGAUAUAGGGCACACUCAACAGAGAGAGAGAGAAAGAGAGAGGAGAGAGAGAGGAGAGAGAGGAGAGAGUCCUUGCACACAAUGCUUCCGUGUAUUGCUGUACUCCACCCCUUGGUCUACAGCCAUAGCCGUACUUGGCAGAGCACAAGACUCUCUGUGGUUCUGCCUCUUGGCAUCAUGUUGUUUUUUGAUCUUUGACCCCGCAAACAACAACUAACAUGAGGACAACUGCUGGGAAGAGGCUGAAGCAAUUGCAGCAUGAUCACACAAGUGAUAACCACCAAGCCAAAGGGACAGGAAGCUCUCGGCAUUGUUGGUGUUUUACUCAAGCCAUGGUAAAUAACUAGAAGUUCAAUGCCUGGAUCAUGUAGCAGCUACCUGGUUAAAACGAAACAAAGAUGUAAGUUUGGGGUUUAUUUUUGACCAUUAAAGAGCACUCAGUUUGUGGUUGUAAUAUGCUUCCUGCAAUAUAGUAAGCCUUAAAACGAAAGUGUCUCUUGCACAGCCUAGA
rnacentral:lncRNA from 1 species